AACCAUUCUCACCUGCGGCUAGACCUGCGGAAGGAUCAUUACCGAGUUAGGGUAGUCACACUGCCGGACCUCCCAACCCUGUGUCUACCAUACCUUGUCGUUGCUUCGGCGGACCGGUUGACCAACUGGUCAUGACCGCCGGGGGCUGGCUCUGUCCCCCCUGGAGAGCGUCCGCCGAUGGCCCAACCACAAAACUCUUGUACCGAAACGUGUCGUCUGAAUUAUGUUUGAGAAAUCAAA
rnacentral:misc_RNA from 1 species